GAUCAUGGCUCAGGACGAACGCUGGCGGCGUGCUUAACACAUGCAAGUCGAACGGGGAUUAGUUGAUUGAGAGCUUCGGCAGGAUAUCGAUUAAUUCGAGUGGCGGACGGGUGAGUAACGCGUGAGCAACCUGUCCCAGACAGGGGGAUAACACUUGGAAACAGGUGCUAAUACCGCAUAAGACCACGGGAUCACAUGGUUCCGGGGUAAAAGGAGCAAUCCGGUUUGGGGUGGGCUCGCGUCCGAUUAGCCAGUUGGCGGGGUAACGGCCCACCAAAGCGACGAUCGGUAGCCGACCUGAGAGGGUGAACGGCCACAUUGGAACUGAGAGACGGUCCAAACUCCUACGGGAGGCAGCAGUGGGGAAUAUUGGGCAAUGGGCGAAAGCCCUGACCCAGCAACGCCGCGUGAGUGAAGAAGGCCUUCGGGUUGUAAAGCUCUGUUAUAGUUGACGAAGGAAGUGACGGUAGGCUAUAAGGAAGCCCCGGCUAACUACGUGCCAGCCGCCGC
rnacentral:rRNA from 1 species